rnacentral:rRNA from 1 species
AUUGAACGCUGGCGGAAUGCUUUACACAUGCAAGUCGAACGGCAGCACGGGGGCAACCCUGGUGGCGAGUGGCGAACGGGUGAGUAAUACAUCGGAACGUGCCCAGUCGUGGGGGAUAACGUAGCGAAAGUUACGCUAAUACCGCAUACGAUCUACGGAUGAAAGCGGGGGACCGGAAGGCCUAGCGCGAAUGGAGCGGCCGAUGUAAGAUUAGGUAGUUGGUGAGGUAAAGGCUCACCAAGCCGACGAUCUGUAGCUGGUCUGAGAGGACGACCAGCCACACUGGGACUGAGACACGGCCCAGACUCCUACGGGAGGCAGCAGUGGGGAAUUUUGGACAAUGGGCGCAAGCCUGAUCCAGCCAUUCCGCGUGCAGGACGAAGGCCUUCGGGUUGUAAACUGCUUUUGUACGGAACGAAAAGGCUCUGGUUAAUACCUGGGGCUCAUGACGGUACCGUAAGAAUAAGCACCGGCUAACUACGUGCCAGCAGCCGCAGUAA